UACAGAGGUCCCGAGCGUUGUUCGGAUUCAUUGGGCGUAAAGGGUGCGCAGGUGGCAUUGUAAGUUUGAUGUGAAAUCUCCGGGCUUAACCCGGAAAAGGCAUUGAAUACUGCGGUGCUGGAGGUUUGGAGGGGGGACUGGAAUUCUCGGUGUAGCAGUGAAAUGCGUAGAUAUCGAGAGGAACACCAGUGGCGAAGGCGAGUCCCUGGACAACACCUGACACUGAGGCACGAAAGCUAGGGGAGCAAACAGG
rnacentral:rRNA from 1 species